UAAAGCUGUCAAGCUUCUGCAAAUCUAUGUGUAACAAAUUUGAUCCAGUUCAAUCGCGGAAAGAUCUGAUGCUGGUCAGAUUACCAAACCCUUGAUCACCCCAUUCACAAUAGCCGUUCGUUCAUGAUCGUGAUAUGAGACUUAGCGGGCAUCAUCUAAGGUGUUCUGGAUUAAUUAUAGGCCCUUUGAUCAGUGCAAGUACUAGGAUAGCAUCUGCAGUACCCUUGGUGAGCAGUGGAUCUGGGGACAUCUGGGGCAAUGCUCUUAGAAGACAUGACCAGGAAUGCACACCAGCCAGCAGCGUGGACACUCUUUCACCAGUGAGAUGCUUCAGCACAUGGCGUCCCUCCUCGAGAAGGAGCUCAGCCGACCGUCAGAAGAGACCUACCUCCCGCAGUUCCUCAAGGACAGCACCACCUGCAGGCCUUACUCACGUGGACA
rnacentral:lncRNA from 1 species